AGGGAUGUAGCUCAGUGGUAGAGUGCUUACUAAGCAUUCUUAAGACCUGAGUUCAAUCCUCAUCAUCUUUC
rnacentral:tRNA from 1 species